AGAGUUUGAUCAUGGCUCAGAUCACGCUGGCGGCGUGCUCAGACAUGCAAGUCGAACGCGAAAGUCCCUUCGGGGGACAAGUAGAGUGGCGCACGGGUGAGUAACACGUAGGUAAUCUACCUUCGGGUGGGGAAUAACAACCGGAAACGGUUGCUAAUACCGCAUAAUGCAGCGGCACCUAAUGGUGACAGUUGUUAAAGCGGGGGAUCGCAAGACCUCGCGCCUGAAGAGGAGCCUGCGGCGGAUUAGCUAGUUGGUAGGGUAACGGCCUACCAAGGCUACGAUCCGUAGCCGGCCUGAGAGGGCGGUCGGCCACACUGACACUGACAUACGGGUCAGACUCCUACGGGAGGCAGCAGUCGGGAAUUUUGGGCAAUGGGCGAAAGCCUGACCCAGCAACGCCGCGUGAAGGAUGAAAUCCCUCGGGAUGUAAACUUCGCAAGAACGGGGAGAAUAAGCCGGUGUUAACACCACCGGCGAUGACGGUACCGUUUGUAAGCUCCGGCUAACUCCGUGCCAGCAGCCGCGGUAAUACGGGGGGAGCAAGCGUUGUUCGGAUUUACUGGGCGUAAAGGGCGCGUAGGCGGCCACCGCAAGUCAAUUGUGAAAUCUCCGGGCUUAACUCGGAAAGGUCAACUGAUACUGCGGGGCUAGAGUGCGGAAGGGGCAACUGGAAUUCUCGGUGUAGCGGUGAAAUGCGUAGAUAUCGAGAGGAACACCUGCGGCGAAGGCGGGUUGCUGGGCCGACACUGACGCUGAGGCGCGAAAGCUAGGGGAGCGAACGGGAUUAGAUACCCCGGUAGUCCUAGCCUUAAACGAUGAAUGCUUGGUGUCUGGGGUUAUAAAGUCCCCGGGUGCCGUCGCUAACGCUUUAAGCAUUCCGCCUGGGGAGUACGGUCGCAAGACUGAAACUCAAAUGAAUUGACGG
rnacentral:rRNA from 1 species